rnacentral:rRNA from 1 species
AGCGAACGUUAGCGGCGCGCCUAACACAUGCAAGUCGCACGAGAAAGGGAGCAAUCCCCGGUACAGUGGCGCACGGGUGAGUAACACGUAGAUGACCUUCCCUGGAGUGGUGGAUAACCUGCCGAAAGGCGGGCUAAUACAGCAUGGGACCACAUGGUUUUGACCGAGUGGUGAAAGCGGGCCUCUGUUCACAAGCUCGCGCUCUGGGAUGGGUCUGCGUCCCAUCAGCUAGUUGGUGAGGUAAUGGCUCACCAAGGCAUCGACGGGUAGCUGGUCUGAGAGGAUGACCAGCCACACUGGAACUGAGACACGGUCCAGACUCCUACGGGAGGCAGCAGUGGGGAAUCUUGCGCAAUGGGCGAAAGCCUGACGCAGCGACGCCGCGUGGGUGAUGAAGGCCUGGUUGUAAGACCGUCGUGGGAGGGAACGGAACCGUAA